UGACAUCUCAAAGUCCCCUUCUACAGGCAUAGGCAGUAAGCCUGUAGCUGUCGUAGGUCGCUAGCGAACAUCUGAGCCGCCCGUCCUCGCGAGUCUGCGACGUAGGCCAUCUCAACAUCCAUGACUGUCGUCCCAUUUGGAGGUAACCAGCUACUUCGAGGAAACGCCACAAACAGCAAAAUCACUUAAUCCUACUUACAUUGCCUAUAUUUCUUCAAGUCUUUCACUUUGGGCUGCUUCUUCUGUCCUCUUUGGUAGAAUUGGAAAUAAAAGAAAGUCAUUAUUAUUCAGAUUAAUGUACACAAACCAAAACAUUUUUAUAAACAAUUUUUUUGAUACAUUUUCUCAUUGUUGAAGGACUUGUCUGUCAACUUGAAUAUGAAGAACAGCAAUAAAAUAAAAGGGUUUCUUUAUAAGAAUGUUUUUUUGUGGAUUGAAUCGGUCAAUUACUAUCAAAUAUCAAAUGUAUAUCAUUUCAAAAUUACAUAAAAAGAUCCCUUUGAAUAACGCACACCAUAUCCUGAAAAAAAAGAUACCACUGAACUAUCCAUAGAACAAAAGCAAGAAACAGACAAUAAAACCUGACCAAUCAGAACUAGCUCAGAAAACAACUGUUAAUUGUUAGAAAAGUCUUUGCACUUGAAGCACAAAUUAUGUAUUUCUGAAAUGAUCAUUUGAUAUUUGUUCUGUCAAUAUCAAAUUGUUUUCAAAUUAAGAUUAAUUUAAUAUUCUGUUACAAAAUUCGACUAUUAAGGUGGUACAUCUGACCUUCAAAACAGCGGUACUCCAAAAAUAAACCCUGGUUUUCUGGAAAUCUUAAAUUAGUGUACUAUAGAGCGCAUUAAUCCCAAAUUUUUUAAUGCAAACUGACAGACAAGUGAAUUUUAGCUCAAAAUGGUCGAAAUAUAUUUCUCUUUCACCAAAAGUUUCAUUUCUGCAAAUUUGUUGGUUAAAUUAAGUAAACAAUGACAUCAAAAGCACUAUUUUGUGUUACAGUAGGCCUACUUUUACAUACGUUCAAAAUUUGAGGGAGUAAUUGGUGGUCUGACACCUACAUAACACUAAGGAGAUAACUCUGUAAGAAACAGCUGAACAUUUUUAUACACAAUUUUUUUUAAACAUUUUCUCAUUGUUGAAGGACUUGUCUGUGAACUUGUAUAUGAAGAACAGCAAUAAAAUAAAAGGGUUUCUUUGUUGUAGACCAAGUAAAUUUGACAUUUCCCCUCUCUUAUUCUUCAAUUUUUCCUGCUUCUUAAUAACAGGGACAUUAGAAAGAACCAAUCGAGCAUAUCUUUAGUUUGGCUGCAUCAUUUUUCCAUGUGGACUGCUUCCCAAAAAUGAAACCAGAUAAUCUCCAGAAAACUUCAGCAUGACAUCUCAAAGUCCCCUUCUACAGGCAUAGGCAGAAAGCCUGUAGCUGUCGUAGGUCGCUAGCGAACAUCCCAGCCGCCCGUCCUCGCGAGUCUGCGACGUAGGCCAUCUCAACAUCCAUGACUGUCGUCCCAUUUGGAGGUAACCAGCUACUUCGAGGAAACGCCACACAAACAGCAAAAUCACUUAAUCCUACUUACAUUGCCUAUAUUUCUUCAAGUCUUUCACUUUGGGCUGCUUCUUCUGUCCUCUUUGGUAGAAUUGGAAAUAAAAGAAAGUCAUUAUUAUUCAGAUUAAUGUACACAAAUCAAAACAUUUUUAAGCACAAUUUUUUUAAACAUUUUCUCAUUGUUGAAGGACUUGUCUGUGAACUUGUAUAUGAUGAACAGCAAUCAAAUAAAAGGGUUUCUUUGUUGUAGACCAAGUAAAUUUGACAUUUUCCCGCUCUUAUUCUUCAAUUUUUCCUGCUUCUUAAUAACAGAGACAUUAGAAAGAACCAAUCCAGCGUAUCUUUAGUUUGGCUGCGUCAUUUUUCCAUGUGGACUGCUUCCCAAAAAUGAAACCAGAUAAUCUCCAGAAAACUUCAGCAUGACAUCUCAAAGUCCCCUUCUACAGGCAUAGGCAGUAAGCCUGUAGCUGUCGUAGGUCGCUAGCGAACAUCUGAGCCGCCCGUCCUCGCGAGUCUGCGACGUAGGCCAUCUCAACAUCCAUGACUGUCGUCCCAUUUGGAGGUAACCAGCUACUUCGAGGAAACGCCACAAACAGCAAAAUCACUUAAUCCUACUUACAUUGCCUAUAUUUCUUCAAGUCUUUCACUUUGGGCUGCUUCUUCUGUCCUCUUUGGUAGAAUUGGAAAUAAAAGAAAGUCAUUAUUAUUCAGAUUAAUGUACACAAACCAAAACAUUUUUAUAAACAAUUUUUUUGAUACAUUUUCUCAUUGUUGAAGGACUUGUCUGUCAACUUGAAUAUGAAGAACAGCAAUAAAAUAAAAGGGUUUCUUUAUAAGAAUGUUUUUUUGUGGAUUGAAUCGGUCAAUUACUAUCAAAUAUCAAAUGUAUAUCAUUUCAAAAUUACAUAAAAAGAUCCCUUUGAAUAACGCACACCAUAUCCUGAAAAAAAAGAUACCACUGAACUAUCCAUAGAACAAAAGCAAGAAACAGACAAUAAAACCUGACCAAUCAGAACUAGCUCAGAAAACAACUGUUAAUUGUUAGAAAAGUCUUUGCACUUGAAGCACAAUUAUGUAUUUCUGAAAUGAUCAUUUGAUAUUUGUUCUGUCAAUAUCAAAUUGUUUUCAAAUUAAGAUUAAUUUAAUAUUCUGUUACAAAAUUUGACUAUUAAGGUGGUACAUCUGACCUUCAAAACAGCGGUACUCCAAAAAUAAACCCCUGGUUUUCUGGAAAUCUUAAAUUAGUGUACUAUAGAGCGCAUUAAUCCCAAAAUUUUUAAUGCAAACUGACAGACAAGUGAAUUUUAGCUCAAAAUGGUCGAAAUAUAUUUUCUCUUUCACCAAAAGUUUCAUUUCUGCAAAUUUGUUGGUUAAAUUAAGUAAACAAUGACAUCAAAAGCACUAUUUUGUGUUACAGUAGGCCUACUUUUACAUACGUUCAAAAUUUGAGGGAGUAAUUGGUGGUCUGACACCUACAUAACACUAAGGAGAUAACUCUGUAAGAAACAGCUGAACAUUUUUAUACACAAUUUUUUUUAAACAUUUUCUCAUUGUUGAAGGACUUGUCUGUGAACUUGUAUAUGAAGAACAGCAAUAAAAUAAAAGGGUUUCUUUGUUGUAGACCAAGUAAAUUUGACAUUUCCCCUCUCUUAUUCUUCAAUUUUUCCUGCUUCUUAAUAACAGGGACAUUAGAAAGAACCAAUCGAGCAUAUCUUUAGUUUGGCUGCAUCAUUUUUCCAUGUGGACUGCUUCCCAAAAAUGAAACCAGAUAAUCUCCAGAAAACUUCAGCAUGACAUCUCAAAGUCCCCUUCUACAGGCAUAGGCAGAAAGCCUGUAGCUGUCGUAGGUCGCUAGCGAACAUCCCAGCCGCCCGUCCUCGCGAGUCUGCGACGUAGGCCAUCUCAACAUCCAUGACUGUCGUUCCAUUUGGAGGUAACCAGCUACUUGGAGGUAACCAGCUACUUCGAGAGAACGCCACGCACAAACAGCAAAAUCACUUAAUCCUACUUACAUUGCCUAUAUUUCUUCAAGUCUUUCACUUUGGCUGCUUCUUCUGUCCUCUUUGGUAGAAUUGGAAAUAAAAGAAAGUCAUUAUUAUUCAGAUUAAUGUACACAAAUCAAAACAUUUUUAAGUACAAUUUUUUUAAACAUUUUCUCAUUGUUGAAGGACUUGUCUGUGAACUUGUAUAUGAAGAACAGCAAUAAAAUAAAAGAAUUUCUUUGCUAAAUUUGACAUUUUCCCGCUCUUAUUCUUCAAUUUUUCCUGCUUCUUAAUAACAGAGACAUUAGAAAGAACCAAUCCAGCGUAUCUUUAGUUUGGCUGCGUCAUUUUUCCAUGUGGACUGCUUCCCAAAAAUGAAACCAGAUAAUCUCCAGAAAACUUCAGCAUGACAUCUCAAAGUCCCCUUCUACAGGCAUAGGCAGUAAGCCUGUAGCUGUCGUAGGUCGCUAGCGAACAUCUGAGCCGCCCGUCCUCGCGAGUCUGCGACGUAGGCCAUCUCAACAUCCAUGACUGUCGUCCCAUUUGGAGGUAACCAGCUACUUCGAGGAAACGCCACAAACAGCAAAAUCACUUAAUCCUACUUACAUUGCCUAUAUUUCUUCAAGUCUUUCACUUUGGGCUGCUUCUUCUGUCCUCUUUGGUAGAAUUGGAAAUAAAAGAAAGUCAUUAUUAUUCAGAUUAAUGUACACAAACCAAAACAUUUUUAUAAACAAUUUUUUUGAUACAUUUUCUCAUUGUUGAAGGACUUGUCUGUCAACUUGAAUAUGAAGAACAGCAAUAAAAUAAAAGGGUUUCUUUAUAAGAAUGUUUUUUUGUGGAUUGAAUCGGUCAAUUACUAUCAAAUAUCAAAUGUAUAUAUCAUUUCAAAAUUACAUAAAAAGAUCCCUUUGAAUAACGCACACCAUAUCCUGAAAAAAAAAGAUACCACUGAACUAUCCAUAGAACAAAAGCAAGAAACAGACAAUAAAACCUGACCAAUCAGAACUAGCUCAGAAAACAACUGUUAAUUGUUAGAAAAGUCUUUGCACUUGAAGCACAAUUAUGUAUUUCUGAAAUGAUCAUUUGAUAUUUGUUCUGUCAAUAUCAAAUUGUUUUCAAAUUAAGAUUAAUUUAAUAUUCUGUUACAAAAUUUGACUAUUAAGGUGGUACAUCUGACCUUCAAAACAGCGGUACUCCAAAAAUAAACCCCUGGUUUUCUGGAAAUCUUAAAUUAGUGUACUAUAGAGCGCAUUAAUCCCAAAAUUUUUAAUGCAAACUGACAGACAAGUGAAUUUUAGCUCAAAAUGGUCGAAAUAUAUUUCUCUUUCACCAAAAGUUUCAUUUCUGCAAAUUUGUUGGUUAAAUUAAGUAAACAAUGACAUCAAAAGCACUAUUUUGUGUUACAGUAGGCCUACUUUUACAUACGUUCAAAAUUUGAGGGAGUAAUUGGUGGUCUGACACCUACAUAACACUAAGGAGAUAACUCUGUAAGAAACAGCUGAACAUUUUUAUACACAAUUUUUUUUAAACAUUUUCUCAUUGUUGAAGGACUUGUCUGUGAACUUGUAUAUGAAGAACAGCAAUAAAAUAAAAGGGUUUCUUUGUUGUAGACCAAGUAAAUUUGACAUUUCCCCUCUCUUAUUCUUCAAUUUUUCCUGCUUCUUAAUAACAGGGACAUUAGAAAGAACCAAUCGAGCAUAUCUUUAGUUUGGCUGCAUCAUUUUUCCAUGUGGACUGCUUCCCAAAAAUGAAACCAGAUAAUCUCCAGAAAACUUCAGCAUGACAUCUCAAAGUCCCCUUCUACAGGCAUAGGCAGAAAGCCUGUAGCUGUCGUAGGUCGCUAGCGAACAUCCCAGCCGCCCGUCCUCGCGAGUCUGCGACGUAGGCCAUCUCAACAUCCAUGACUGUCGUCCAUUUGGAGGUAACCAGCUACUUCGAGGAAACGCCACAAACAGCAAAAUCACUUAAUCCUACUUACAUUGCCUAUAUUUCUUCAAGUCUUUCACUUUGGGCUGCUUCUUCUGUCCUCUUUGGUAGAAUUGGAAAUAAAAGAAAGUCAUUAUUAUUCAGAUUAAUGUACACAAAUCAAAACAUUUUUAAGUACAAUUUUUUUAAAACAUUUUCUCAUUGUUGAAGGACUUGUCUGUGAACUUGUAUAUGAUGAACAGCAAUCAAAUAAAAGGGUUUCUUUGUUGUAGACCAAGUAAAUUUGACAUUUUCCCGCUC
rnacentral:lncRNA from 1 species